rnacentral:misc_RNA from 1 species
CUCAAAGUCCUAUAAAUAUCCGGCGAAAUUUCUCCCUCUUCCAUUAUUCAAGUUUCACAGGAGGGAAGAAAAGAAAAACAAAACGAGAAUGUCGACCGUUUCCAUUGAGCCUCUCCACAGAUAUUCCCAUAGGGAAAAACCUCUUUGCCGGUGCAGAACAAAGAUCCUGAAACCUUCCUCUUUGAAUUUCUCUCCAAAGCUUCUCUCCAAUGGCACCACCAUCUUCUGCAACUUCAAGCCUCCUCGGGUCCACACAAUUAGAGUUGGGUCCACUGACACCGCUCUUCUCGAAACUUUUAAAACCGCUGAUGGCUUCUUCAAGGAGACCUUUCCUCUCGCGCGAACCGAAACGGUUGAGGGAAAGCUUUUCAUAAGAUUAGAUAAGGACGAGGAACAACAGUGUUGGCAGCUUAGCAUAGGGUGUAGUCUUCCCGGGAAAUGGAUUCUUCAUUGGGGAGUUUCUUAUGUGGACGAUGUUGGCAGUGAAUGGGAUCAACCUCCUAAGAAUAUGAGACCUCCUGGUUCUCUUCCUAUAAAGGACUAUGCAAUAGAGACACCGUUAAAGAAAUCCUCAGAGGGACAAAUAUUUCAUGAAGUGAAGAUAAAUUUGGAUCCCAAAAGUUCAAUUGCAGCAGUAAACUUUGUUUUGAAGGAUGAAGAAACUGGUGCUUGGUAUCAGCAUAGAGGGAGAGAUUUUAAAGUCCCUCUUGUGGACUAUAUUCUCAAUGAUGGCAGUGUAGUUGGAGUGAAUGGAGGCUUCAAUAUAUGGCCAGGGGCUUUCCUUCCUAACAUGCUUCUUAAAUCAGAAGAAAUGCCUUCUAAAGAUCAAGAUAGCAGCAGUGAAUCCAAAGAUACAAAACAGGAAAAUAGGCAUGUAGAAGGUUUCUAUGAAGAGCAGCCUAUUACUAAACAAGUUGUAAUUCAAAACUCAGCCACUGUUUCAGUUACAAAAUGUCCUAAGACUGCCAAGAAUCUUCUUUAUUUAGAAACUGAUCUACCUGGGGAAGUUGUUGUUCACUGGGGAGUUUGCAGAGAUGAUGCUAAAAAUUGGGAAAUUUCAGCUGGCCCGCAUCCGCCCGGAUCAACUGUAUUCAAGAACAAGGCUUUACGGACGCUAUUACUGUCUAAAGAUGGUGGAAAUGGAUGUUCAAGGUUAUUUACCUUAGACGAAGAAUAUGUUGGCUUUCUUUUUGUUCUGAAGUUGAAUGACAGCACUUGGUUGAAAUGUGAGGAAAAUGACUUCUACGUCCCCCUCUCAAGUUCAAGCAGCUUUCCUGCUCAACCUGGACAGGGACAAUCUAAAGUGGUACUAGAAUCUGAAAAGACUGUGGAAGCAAAUAAAGAAGUUUCUCAAAUUUCAUAUACUGAUGAUAUAAUUAGUGAAAUAAGGAACUUAGUAAAUGACAUUUCCUCUGAGAAGAGUCGUGGGACAAAAACAAAAGGAGCACAAGAAAGCAUUCUUCAAGAAAUUGAGAAAUUGGCUGCUGAAGCCUACAGUAUCUUCAGAAGUUCCAUCCCUACUUUUGCAGAGGAAGCUGUUUCAGAGUCUGAGCGUCAAGAGACUCCUACUAAAAUUUGUUCAGGGUCAGGCACAGGGUUUGAAAUAGUGCUCCAAGGCUUUAACUGGGAAUCUCAUAAAUCUGGAAGAUGGUACAUGGAACUCAAAAACAAAGCUGCUGAAAUAUCUUCCCUUGGGUUCACUGUGAUUUGGUUGCCCCCACCAACGGAAUCUGUGUCACCUGAAGGUUACAUGCCAAAGGAUUUAUAUAAUUUGAAUUCCAGAUAUGGAAGUAUUGAUGAGCUUAAGGAUCUUGUGAAGUGUCUCCAUGAAGUGGGUCUUAAAGUUCUUGGAGAUGCUGUCUUAAACCAUCGCUGUGCACACUAUCAAAAUCAAAAUGGUGUAUGGAAUUUAUUUGGGGGUCGUUUAAAUUGGGAUGAUCGGGCCAUUGUUGCUGAUGAUCCGCAUUUCCAGGGUAGGGGCAACAAGAGUAGUGGAGAUAAUUUUCAUGCUGCACCCAAUAUUGAUCAUUCUCAAGAUUUUGUGAGGAAGGAUCUCAAAGAAUGGUUAUGCUGGCUAAGGUUAUCUUGUUCCCUUCUUAUCAUCUGUAAAUUUAAAUUCUUCCUACAUUAACAGGAAAGAAAACGUAAUUUAUAUUCAGAACAAAUAAUUUGUGGGAUUUAUAUUGAAAUCAUUGUUCAAAUUUGUUCACCUAGUCUUAGUUCCAUUUAUUGUUUGGAAAGUAAAUACUGGGAUGCAGGUAAGCUUUAAAAAGAUGAUUGCAAAUCAAUUGGAUAUGGUGUAUUGUAUGUGCAUGACUUCAUAUUUCCCCAGUUUUUCUGGCCUCUGAAAGAACAAUUUUGCUUAGCUCUCUGAAGUAAUAUAUCAUAUAGUUUGAGGUCUUAUGAGUUUGAUAUACUUUUCCAUUUACGUGAUUGUUGUCAUGCUUUUCCUAAUAUUAUACUGACUGAUCCAAUGAGCAUUAUCGACCCUCUAUUUCUUUCUUGUGUCAAUUCAAUUUGCUGCAGAUGUUCCCAUGUAUUAACUUUUGUAAAUUUGCUUCCUUAUGCCAUUUCAAAUUAUUACUGUUAUUUUCCUGGUUACAUUUGAUAUGCAGAGAUGAAAUUGGAUAUGAUGGAUGGAGGCUUGAUUUUGUUAGAGGAUUUUGGGGUGGUUAUGUCAAGGACUACGUGGAUGCAACUGAACCAUAUUUUGCUGUUGGAGAGUACUGGGAUUCCCUCGGUUACACAUAUGGUGAAAUGGAUCACAAUCAAGAUGCACAUCGGCAGAGAAUUAUUGACUGGAUCAAUGCUACAAAUGGAACUGCUGGCGCAUUCGAUGUCACCACAAAGGGGAUUCUUCAUUCAGCACUGGAAAGGUGCGAGUAUUGGCGGUUAUCAGAUAAGAAAGGAAAGCCUCCUGGAGUUGUGGGCUGGUGGCCAUCUCGUGCUGUUACCUUCAUAGAGAAUCACGAUACUGGUUCUACUCAGGUUUUUACUUCUUACUUCUUCCAUUGUAUCUGGAAUGCUGGCCCGAAACAAUUAACAAGACUAACUGUAAGCACAUUACAAAAUUCUGAAUUGAUUCAAGGAAAUAAUCAUAACAAUUAGUUUUAGUCUGUUCUUCUUUUCACAUCUUCGGAAGCUUAACUCUGAAUCUUCAGUUGCUUUUAGUCUCAGCUCCGGACAGUUUAUUAGCUUUCUGUAGGAUUUUUGUUGUUUUUUCCUUUCCCAAAUAAAAACUAGUACAUAGGAAGCAUCCAGGGAGAACAUAUAGGGAAAAAAGAAAAGGGAGGAGAAAAGGACAGAAGAAGAGACAAAGUACGUAGUAGAUUAGAUAUUAAAAUUUGAGGAAAAGGACAGUAAAUUACUGCAUAAUAGCAUUAAUUUGGGAGAGAGGGAGACGUUUUUUAGGAGAGCUAAAAAAUUGUCAAGUCUUGCUUUGGUGCUGCUGUCACAGUUUGAUAUUGUGUAACUGUCAUGUGACUAAAUGGUAUUCUUUCUUCCUAAAGGGUCAUUGGAGAUUUCCUAGUGGAAAGGAAAUGCAAGGGUAUGCUUACAUCUUGACUCAUCCAGGAACUCCAGCUGUUUUCUAUGACCACAUCUUCUCUCAUUAUCAGUCUGAAAUUGCAUCUCUAAUCUCUCUUAGAAACCGGAAAAAAAUCCACUGCCGAAGCACAGUAAGUAUCAAAACAGUGCUCUCUAUUUUUGCAUAAAAAAUGUUAUUAAAUUGAUGCUGACAAUUAUCAUAUUUGUUUUCAUUUUUUUUACCAUACUAACUUCUAAGUCUUGCAUUUUUCACUAUUUUAAAGUGAAAAAGAAAUUGAAAGCAUCCACCAAAAUGAUCAUUAUAUUUGAUGCCGCAUUAUUAUUAUUACUCUAUGCUACUUCAAAUAAUGUACUGCAUAUCUUCAUUAUUUCCUCACCUUGUUUUCUCAUUAACUAAAAUUCCCGUGCAUAGUUCAUGAUUUCCUUUACUGAGAAGCAUAGGCUAAUGUUAUUAUAUGGUGAGCAAAUGCCCAAGGGGAAGAAAGGAAGAAGAUAGAAAGUGAAGUGCCAAAAUAUUGACCUCAUGUACUGGUUUGCUUGUUUAAGGUUAAAACUACCAAAGCAGAAAGGGAUGUUUAUGCAGCCAUAGUUGAUGAGAAAGUGGCAGUGAAAAUCGGACCAGGUCAUUAUGAACCCCCGAGUGGGUCUCAAAGCUGGUUUUUGGCUAUUGAGGGAAAAGAUUACAAGGUCUGGGAAGCAUCUUAAACUUAAUGCGGUAGCUGCAAUUAUAUUAUUUAUAUUGUAGAAGUACAUAAAUUUAAAGCAUCAACUGUGAAGUAUUCCACAAUUCUAUUUAUCAAGCAAUUUGAAGGACUUCGGAACAUGAUGGUCUACUUGUUGGAAAUGGCGUGGCCUUGACCCUUCGAUUGAACCCCAUUCUUGACCUGAAAUCGGGCGACUGAGGAAAUGCCCUGUUACAUG